rnacentral:rRNA from 1 species
AGAGUUUGAUUCUGGCUCAGGAUGAACGCUAGCUACAGGCUUAACACAUGCAAGUCGAGGGGCAUCAGGGGCUGUGCUUGCACAGUCCGCUGGCGACCGGCGCACGGGUGAGUAACGCGUAUCCAACCUGGCCCUCAGUAGGGGAUAGCCCGGCGAAAGUCGGAUUAAUACCCUAUGUUGUCCGACGAAGACAUCUGAAUCGGACCAAAGAUUCAUCGCUGAGGGAUGGGGAUGCGUCUGAUUAGGUAGUCGGCGGGGUAACGGCCCACCGAGCCAUCGAUCAGUAGGGGUUCUGAGAGGAAGGUCCCCCACAUUGGUACUGAGACACGGACCAAACUCCUACGGGAGGCAGCAGUGAGGAAUAUUGGUCAAUGGGCGCGAGCCUGAACCAGCCAAAAGUAGCGUGCAGGAUGACGGCCCUAUGGGUUGUAAACUGCUUUUGCCGGGGAAUAAAGUUCGCCACGCGUGGCGUUUUGUAUGUACCCGGAGAAUAAGGACCGGCUAAUUCCGUGCCAGCCGCCGC